rnacentral:rRNA from 1 species
UACGUAGGGUGCAAGCGUUGUCCGGAAUUAUUGGGCGUAAAGAGCUCGUAGGCGGCCUGUUACGUCUGCUGUGAAAUCCCGGGGCUUAACCCCGGGCGUGCAGUGGAUACGGGCAGGCUGGAGGCAGGCAGGGGAGAACGGAAUUCCCGGUGUAGCGGUGAAAUGCGCAGAUAUCGGGAGGAACACCGGUGGCGAAGGCGGCACUCUGGGACGGUACUGACGCUGAGACGCGAAAGCGUGGGAGCAA